GAUGAACGCUGGCUGUGUGCCUAAUACAUGCAUGUCGAGCGAAGCACUUUUGUGCUUAGCGGCGAAUGGGUGAGUAACACGUACUUAACCUACCCUCAAGAUUGGGACAACACUUGGAAACGAGUGCUAAUACCAAAUACGUAUUUUUAUCGCAUGAUAGAUAUAUAAAAGGAGCUUCGGCUUCACUAGAGGAUGGGAGUGCGCUACAUUAGUUAGUUGGUAGGGUAAUGGCCUACCAAGACUAUGAUGUAUAGCGGGGCCGAGAGGCUGAUCCGCCACACUGGGACUGAGAUACGGCCCAGACUCCUACGGGAGGCAGCAGUAGGGAAUUUUCCACAAUGAACGAAAGUUUGAUGGAGCGACACAGCGUGCAGGAUGAAGGUCUUCGGAUUGUAAACUGCUGUUAUAAGAGAAGAAAAACCCUGGUAGGUAAUGACCAGGACUUGACGGUACCUUAUCAGAAAGCGACGGCUAACUAUGUGCCAGCAGCCGCGGUAAUACAUAGGUCGCAAGCGUUAUCCGGAAUUAUUGGGCGUAAAGAGUUCGUAGGUGGUUUUGUAAGUCUGAAGUUAAAUACCGGGGCUCAACCCCGGCCCGCUUUGGAUACUGCAAAACUAGAGUAAUAGAGAGGUUAGUGGAACUCCAAGUGAAGCGGUGGAAUGCGUAGAUAUUUGGAAGAACACCAAUGGCGAAGGCAACUAACUGGAUAUUAACUGACACUGAGGAACGGAAGCGUGGGUAGCAAACAGG
rnacentral:rRNA from 1 species